UACAGAGGUGGCAAGCGUUGUUCGGAAUUACUGGGCGUAAAGGGCGCGUAGGUGGCCUUUUGAGUCAGACGUGAAAUCCCCCGGCUUAACCUGGGAACUGCGUCUGAUACUGGAAAGCUUGAGUUCGGGAGAGGGAUGUGGAAUUCCAGGUGUAGCGGUGAAAUGCGUAGAUAUCUGGAGGAACACCGGUGGCGAAGGCGGCAUCCUGGACCGAAACUGACACUGAGGUGCGAAAGCUAGGGUAGCAAACGGG
rnacentral:rRNA from 1 species